rnacentral:rRNA from 1 species
UAGGGAAUCUUCCACAAUGGACGAAAGUCUGAUGGAGCAACGCCGCGUGAGUGAAGAAGGUUUUCGGAUCGUAAAGCUCUGUUGUUGGUGAAGAAGGAUAGAGGCAAUAACUGGUCUUUAUUUGACGGUAAUCAACCAGAAAGUCACGGCUAACCACGUGCCAGCAGCCGCGGUAAUACGUAGGUGGCAAGCGUUGUCCGGAUUUAUUGGGCGUAAAGCGAGCGCAGGCGGAAUGAUAAGUCUGAUGUGAAAGCCCACGGCUCAACCGUGGAACUGCAUCGGAAACUGUCAUUCUUGAGUGCAGAAGAGGAGAGUGGAACUCCAUGUGUAGCGGUGGAAUGCGUAGAUAUAUGGAAGAACACCAGUGGCGAAGGCGGCUCUCUGGUCUGCAACUGACGCUGAGGCUCGAAAAGCAUGGGUAGCGAACAGGAUUAGAUACCCUGGUAGUCCAUGCCGUAAACGAUGAGCGCUAGGUGUUGGGGACUUUCCGGUGCCUCAGUGCCGCAGCAAACGCAUUAAGCGCU